rnacentral:rRNA from 1 species
GACGAACGCUGGCGGCGUGCUUAACACAUGCAAGUCGAGCGGAGCGACGAACGAGGGAGUAACGCGUAAGUAACUACCCCCCUCUCUGGGAUAACAGUUGGAAACGGCUUCGAAUACCGGAUAGUUGGGGAUGACUCGCGUCCUAUCAGCUUGUUGGUGGGGUAGUGGCCUACCAAGGCGAAGACGGGUAGCCGGCCUGAGAGGGCGACCGGCCACAUUGGGCUGGGAUACUGCCCAAACUCCUACGGGAGGCAGCAGUGGGGUAUAGUGCACAAUGGGGGGAACCCUGAUGCAGCAACGCCGCGUGCGGGAUGACGGCCUUCGGGUUGUAAACCGCUUUCAGCCAUGACGCGGUAGUGGCAGAAGAAGCACCGGCUAACUACGUGCCAGCAGCCGCGGUAAUAC